CCUACGGGAGGCAGUAGUGAGGAAUAUUGGUCAAUGGCCGCAUGGCUGAACCAGCCAAGUCGCGUGAGGGAUGACGGUCCUAUGGAUUGUAAACCUCUUUUGUCAGGGAGCAAAAGGCGCCACGGUUGUCGCUUUGCGAGUACCUGAAGAAAAAGCAUCGGCUAACUCCGUGCCAGCAGCCGCGUGACUAAGGAGGAUGCGAGCGUUAUCCGUAUUUAUUGGGGUUAAAGGGAGCGGAGGAGGAUUGUUAAGUCAGUUGUGAAAGUUUGCGGCUCAACCGUAAAAUUGCAGUUGAAACUGGCAGUCUUGAGUACAGGAGAGGUGGGCGGAAGUCGUGGUGUAGCGGUGAAAUGCUUAGAUAUCACGAAGAACUCCGAUUGCGAAGGCAGUGCACUGGACUGCAACUGACACUGAGGCUCGAAAGUGUGGGUAUCAAACAGGAUUAGAUACCCCAGUAGUC
rnacentral:rRNA from 1 species